UGUAUAUAUAUGAUCUAUUGGAUCAUUAUUUAGAUUUUUGGAUGAGUCAAACUCUCAUCUGAGAAAGCCAUGCCCCAAAGAGACUAAAUUUCCCAUCACCUUCUACUGAGCCACAUAGUAAUGGGUAGAGUCAGGCUACCAGGCAUAGAGACCAGUGAAAGCAACACAGAACAAUCACAAGUUUGGUAUUAUUACAGAGUGCUCAGACUGUAGGUGGUCUAGCCAGGCUAGCGGCAUAGCUGAUGGCAAUGUCGGUCAUCGACCACUUUGGUCCAGACUGAAAUAUCUUGACUAUUAAAUGGAUUGUCAUGAAAUUUGGUAGACCUACAGAUAUUCAUGGUGCCUAGAGGGAAAAAUCCUGCUGACUUCGGUGACCCCCUGACAUUUGCUCUAGGUUGACAUUCGCCAUUUUUAAGUGAAAUGUCUCGACAACUCGCCAUCAUCAGGUCAAAUCUUUGUUUAUGACUUAAUAUCUGCGACACUAAUGACAUUUACGACAGCCUCAGCUGCACCUUAGUGUUUAGUGCUACACAACUGCUAAACUACUAAACAUCACCAUGUUAGCACUGUCAUUGUCAGCAUGUUAGCAUGCUGUAGUUAGUAUUUAGCUCAAAGCACCACUGUGCAGCCUCACAGAGCCACUAGCAUGGCUGUAGACUCUCAGUCUUGUUAUUUAAAGUAGUUUAAGUGGUGAAUGAUUGUAACCUGACUUUGUCCAUUUCAAAUUGACCUUAGUCAAUUACUGUUCGAUAACAAAUGCCAGAACACAAACUCAGGAGAAGAGAUGGUGAAGUUAGUGACAUUUUAAGUUUGUAUGUAUUUCUUAAUUGAUUCGAAAUUGCAUUAAUUUUUGUCCUAGUGUACAGUGACAAUAGAUGGAGCAGUCCUUUCAAAGGAACACAAAAACAGAGCAAAAUAUGCAGAAUAUAUGUAAAAUCAAAUCAAAGCUUAAUACGUCAUUGUUAUCAUGUUUAUUAUAUGUGUAGCAAUGACCUGGAAAAAAAAUCUAGGGAGUGAAUUUUGCAGGCAUUGUUGCAGUUUGCCUUGAGGUGAAACUAUUCAGAUGGAGAUGAGGAGAGUAAAUAGCAGCCAGCCGUUACUCUGACUUGAGGGGUGACAUUGGGGAUCAUCAGUGUUGCCUGGCAGCAGUGAUGAAAGUGAAAAACGAAAGCCUGAAGACAAAUGUGCAGCUGGAACCUGAAGCAGUUAAUGAUUGAAACCCCCCCCC